rnacentral:pre_miRNA from 9 species
UUUCGAUAGCGUAAAAGUUAACUCAAAUUUGUAUGGACUUGGAAUGUUUGCCUACGUUUGCCGCUAGGGUCGCUGUCCCAACUACAUACUAAUCUGAGUUAACUUUUACGCUAUCGA